GGAUGAGUUCUGCUUCAUGGUAUUUCCUGAAUGUAUUUGGAUUGAGAAGCAUUUACUCUCUGAUUCUUGGCCAAGACAAUGCUGCAGAUCAGUCACGAGUGAUGCAAGAGCAGAUGACUGGGGCAGCCAUGGCAAUGCCAGCAGACACCAACAAGGCUUUUAAGACUGAAUGGGAAGCACUAGAGCUGACUGACCACCAGUGGGCGCUGGAGGAUCUGGAAGAUGAGUUGCUGUCCAAGGAUCUGAACUUCGAAGGGAUGUUCAAAAAAGAACUUCAGACAUCCAUGUUCUGAGGCUUGAACUGCCUCUUGGAAUGAGUCCUAGCCAUGCAAAGUUUACAUUUUUUUGUCUAUCUGCUUGUAUUGUAUUUUUUAAAGAUGCUAGUGCCACUUUGCAAUAUCUAACUGUGGUACAGGAAGGAAGUUAACUAUGUAGAACCCUCCUUUUAAUGUUCCAUAGA